rnacentral:rRNA from 1 species
CAGUAGCCGCGGUAAUACGUAGGUGGCAAGCGUUGUCCGGAAUUAUUGGGCGUAAAGGGCUCGCAGGCGGUUUCUUAAGUCUGAUGUGAAAGCCCCCGGCUCAACCGGGGAGGGUCAUUGGAAACUGGGAAACUUGAGUGCAGAAGAGGAGAGUGGAAUUCCACGUGUAGCGGUGAAAUGCGUAGAGAUAUGGAGGAACACCAGUGGCGAAGGCGACUCUCUGGUCUGUAACUGACGCUGAGGAGCGAAAGCGUGGGAAGCGAACAGGAUUAGAUACCCCUGUAGUCCCUGUCUCUUAUAC